rnacentral:lncRNA from 1 species
AAACGUAGUCCAACAACGAAAGAGCCCUGAAGCUCAAGCGGAGCCCGCUGGCCGCAGGGGCCGCACCACGCCCCAGACCCUGGAGUUUCCGGGUGCGCAGACCCUUGCCAUCAGCAGAGGCUGCCGCUGCGCGUCCCCUAGGCGCGGAAGAGGCGGCUGGUGGUCCCUGACGGCAAGGUUUUAUACAUUACGAAUAAAGCUGGCACGUUUCCAUUUCUCCUGGGCAAAUAUUUAGAAGAAAAGUUGCUGGGUAAUUGAAGCACUGAGACCACAGAGGCAAGAGCUGGGGAAGGAAAACUGCCCAUGAGAUGAGAUGUGCCUCUCAGCUUCCAAAAUCGGGGAGAUGCCCCCCAUGGAAUCCAGCCAUCAUGCUGUGAGGAAUCCAAGCAGCUACAUAGAAAGGCCACAACUAGAUAUUCCAGCUGUAGUCAGCUGAAGCUCCAGCCAACAGCCAACAUCAACCACCACACGUGAAAACGAGCAAGCCUUCAGAUGAUUCCGACUCCCAACCUCCAAGCCACCUCAGCUGAAGCCAAGUAGAGCAGAGACUAGCUGUCCCCCAAUGCUCUAAUAUGCAGAUUCAUAAUUAAAAAGAAUGUUAUUGUUCUAA